GUUAGUUUGCAAGGGAGACUCCCUUGAUUAGAUGUUGGCCAGAGAAGGGACUGACCGACUGCUUAGAGGUUUUAUAAUGCACAUGACAGACACAAUAAAAGGAUAAAGAUGAGGGCAGGGAUCUAUACAUGUGUCUAAAAGUAGGAUAAAGUUAAGUGGAAAUGUGGGAGGAUAUAGGGCAAUGGAAAUGAACUUAUGGCUUCACUUAGACAAAGAGGACAAGAGUGGACUAAUUAAUAGUUUAUUAAAUUUGCGAGGCAAUGACGUUCAAUGGGGAGAAGAUGCAAUGAAGUUGCAUAGCUAUUGGACUUUGUUCCAUUUCACAUACAACUCUAGACUGUAGAUUGUACAUGGAGUCAGAGAGAAAAUGGGAAAGCUACUCUCACCUACGCACUCCAUCUCCUGCUUUCUAUUGCACACAGAAUCUAUCCUAUUAAUUGAGGUCAACAUGCAUAAAUGUCUAGGUAUACAGAUUGUUCAUACAGUUCUCUUUGCAGAAAUAAAGAAAAGUGAGAGUAGCGAGAUCAUUGUGAGCAGUACUGUAAAGCACAAGCAUUUACACACAUAGAUUUGCAGUAGGUUCUACAUGCAGUUUGGUGAGGGAAUAAUAUUCCCUUGUCAAGGACAUGCCCCAAUUUAGUCCCCUUGCUUCCAAAUUGGAAGCACUGCAGGUAAAAGGCAUUGCAAAGGCCUCUGUCCAAGUCCUUGGAUAUUUGUUCCUAGUCUGAGUGGGUAGUUCUCCACUGUGUUAAUGUCAUAUGCUUGCUAAAUGUGCCCUCACUGCAUGCAAGUUGUGUGUGCUGAUGUCCUUUUGAACAAAAACUGAUUAAUGAAUUUCUGUCAUGCUAGGGUGUGGUAACUGAAAAGCCAUACUCUGGGGGUUAUUCAGCAGUGAAUGAAAGAUUGUUGAUGUUCACAAUUAUAUUAUUAAUUAUUACUAGUAUUGGUAAAUGUACUAAAGCAGUACCCUUUAUGCUUAUUUAGGUGCAGAGACAGUUUCCCAGAAAUAUAGAUGAUUUUGCAAGUGCCAAUACUGAUGCGACUAUUUAUAGUGCUAUAACCUGGGUUUUCAGCAAUAUUGGUAAAGUUAAAGCUUAGAUAGCAAUUCUAGCUCUAACACCUUAAUAUAGACAUAUUGCUAUAAACACAGUUUACAAUGAGGAACAUAAACACAAAUUCAGUGGGCCUAAUAAAUCACCUUUUGCACUGCUAAGAAAUGUGCUGCCAAAGUGCCAUUUAUACAGCAUAGGCUACAGCAGAAUGAAGCUACAUAUAUAUUUAAAUUUUCUAUUUUUGAACUGCCACUCGAAACCCUUUUUUAAGCCUAUUGAUCCAGAAUGGCUCGUGAUAACACUUCUGUCACUUGGCAGAGCCAUUUUUAGCUCUUGCUUAUCUGAAAAUCUAAAUCAGGAGUCAGAUGAUGCAACAAAUUUAAGCUUUUUUUCAUUUAGGAAUAAAAAGUGCAAGCUGGCUCUGAUGUCAUGAGGUCAUCAGGUUUCAAAGUAUGCUUUGAGAUGUCAACAGAAUACCUACCUACAUUUAAUAACAUGCUGACUACAUGGAUUUGAUUUUAUACCUAGCACAGGGUUCCUACUGCAGACCAAUAAUAUGGACUGCUCCCAUUCAAUUCUAAUAGGACUUGUGCAAAUGAACACCUAGUUGAUUUUACUACAGCACUUUUUCUAGCAUUGCAUUUCAUGAAACACACCUGAAGUAAAGUUACACCAUGUACCAAUCUAAUCCUCCAUCUUUGUGUUGUUAAAUACACAGUGAUUGUUAUUUAGGACAGGAAAUUAAGAAACUAGGGGCACAGCACUAUAGGAAGGUCUGUUGCACAAGCAUCAUUGAAACUAACAGAAACUGUGAAAGAACAAAUAUUCCAAGUAUCUGUGGUCUUGCCCAACUCCCAUUUACUUAAAGGGGCUUUGCACAGACUCCUAAAUAGCUUUAAUCCUCCUCUCCUGUCACAUUUAACACUCUCUACAAUGGGUGUAAUUAACACACACACACUUUCACUCACCUUUGUACAAAAUGUGAGUUUAGAAAGCAAGGACUGCUUCCUAUAACAUUAGAAUUAUACAAAUGCAUGCUGUGCAUUCCUCAGCCACCCACAUCCCUUAUAAAGAGAAUAGCCAUGAAUACAACAGCUGGUAAAAAUAAUCAGCAGACCGAAUUACUGAUGUGAUUGGCUGAUUAUUUAAUCAAAACUGUGUAGGGUUUUUUCCCAGGCAUCUCAUUAGGAUUUUAGUGGCAAAAGGCAUCAAGCAAUUAAUCAGGAAGCCUUCAGACUCUGGAAAUCUUGCUCUGAAAAGCCUGCACCUCUCUACAAAUAAUCCUUCUGAUCAGGCAUUCAGAACUCCCUGUCAGGAAGCACAAUUUGUUGUGGUCUAUUUGUGUUUGCUCUGAAGUUCAAGGUACCGUGUUUAGGAGCUAGCGGCCCUCAUAACUAAUUGCCAGUAUUGCAAAGGAUUGCAUAGAGGGUAAGCAGCAGCCACACAAGGCCAUGAUUUACAAUAAAUAUUCCUGUGAUGAAUGAGCUGUGUGGUCAUGGUCACAGAUCUUAGAGUGGUUUUGAACUUUAUCAUCUCUGAUCCUUCAAGCACAUUUUGCUUUGAGGGGAGGAGGAUGGGGGAUAGGGUGAACUCUUGAAUACCACUAAGGAUUACUCUUAAUGUUUUCACCAAUAUUUUUUGUUACCCUCAUUACCGGAACCUUCAAUUAUUUCACAUGAAGAAAGCAAAAUAUAUGCAAAGGGAGUAGAAAAGGGGCAGGAAGCCCCUUUUAACUAAUAAGAGCAAUUUAUAACUGGACGGUAUCCUGCCACUCAACACACUUGCAUGUGUGCUCAUUUCACUGUAUUUAUAUUUCUAUAGCAGAAAUUCUUCUAGCCCUGUUCUUGUUCAGAAACACUGUAGUCCUUGUACAAUUAGUAUGCUUAAAUCCUACCGAAGUCAAUAGGAUUUAAUCAGUCCAGUUAUGCAUGGAAUUGCUGCUAAAGAAGGUACACUUAUUAAAUUUAGAUGUGUGGUAGGGUUAAGAGCAAAACACCAUGAAGUACCCUGCCCUUAACUCCCCUUUGAGACUAUUUUUCCUCUCAAAACAAUUCCUCACAAGUUGCACUGAACACCGACAAUUUCUCUUUGCAAUUACAUGUGCACAUGUUUAAGUGUAUGCGGACACACAUGCACACAUUAUUUAUAGAUUUUUAUAUUAUAUAGGAGAAAUAAGGAAAUGAUGAAUAGGCCGAUUACAGUUUCCCUGACAGCAGGGUGAAAUGGUAGCUAGGGUGACCAGGGGAUGUCCUGGUUCCUCCUUGUGGAAAGGUAUUCAGUGCACGUAAUAAUUAUUCAUCCAUCUCGUUCACACUAAAGGCAUUGGCAAUGCAAUUUUAGCCUGAUAAUCAAGACCAUAUGACAAAACCCAAGGCCAUUAGGGACCAAUUUCGAGUAUUCUCUGCAAGACAAUGAUUUUCCAACUGCACUUACAUAUGCUGCAUACUUACCUCUGCACGGCUGCACCUGCUCUCAUUUAUGUAACUCCCCCAUUUUCAGUGUAUUUCCCCCCUUGCAAUUAAAAGGGGGGGGGACUUUCAAAAGAUUUGUUGGAUCUUUCGUGGACCAACCCCUCCCAUUAAUUAAAUAAAAAUUCUAGAUAUGGUUUGCAGGUAUAUAAUGCUGCAAAUAAAUUCAUGCUUUGCCUUUAUUUUUAUUUUGCAUUAUUUUAUCAUUGAGGAUAGGCUUGUGCUGUAUUUUUAAUCGUGAGCCCUCAAUGUUUACAUAGCUCAGUAGAAAGAACUAUGGGUCAGCUGUGCUCAGAAUGUAUAUAAAACUAAUAAAGCUAACUUACAUGUUGCUUUAAACCGAAUAAGAAUGAAUGGAAAUCUCCAUAAUUAUCCACCUUGGCAAGCCAAAUGACAUGUAUCCUUAGACUUGGCAGCACUUGCAAACCUUAUUUGCUGAAAUAAUUAUUAUUUUUGCAGUUACUGUAACCGAUUAGUAUGCGGCCAUUUUUGCGAAUAAGGACUGCCACUGAUAUUUUUGACUAUGAAAUCCUUUCUCUUUUUUGUUUGGUUCUAACUAGGGCUUCAUUUCUUUCUCAGUAUCCCUCUCAAAAGAACCUUGGAAUGUCAGCACAACAAUACUAUACCGAAGGUGCCUAACUGUUGUCCUACUAAACAGAAGCAAGUUGGUUUGAGAAGGUGAGAAUUGAAG